UACAACGCAUUGGAGUUGGUGUUUUGGAACGUUAGAGGCCUUAACAAUUCGGCCAAGAGGAAGGCGCUUAGAGGUUUUGUAGAUUCCGUGCAUGCGGUGAUUGUUUGUAUCUUAGAAACAAAAUUAAAGGUGGUGGACAUUUUUGUAAUCUUGCAAUGCAUCAGGUCGAACUAUGAUGGUUUCACCUAUUUGCGGGCGUCGGACACUAGAGGUGGUAUCUUCAUGGCUUGGGACACCACGCGGGUACUUUUGACAAAUUUUGUCAACGAUUCUCAUUGCAUCACCGGGUACAUGUGA
rnacentral:rRNA from 1 species